rnacentral:rRNA from 1 species
UACAGAGGUCCCGAGCGUUGUUCGGAUUCACUGGGCGUAAAGGGUGCGUAGGUGGCCUGAAAAGUUUGAUGUGAAAGCUCAGGGCUUAACCCUGAAAUGGCAUUGAAUACUGUCGGGCUGGAGGUUUGGAGGGGGGACUGGAAUUCUUGGUGUAGCAGUGAAAUGCGUAGAUAUCAAGAGGAACACCAGUGGCGAAGGCGAGUCCCUGGACAACACCUGACACUGAGGCACGAAAGCUAGGGGAGCAAACAGG